rnacentral:rRNA from 1 species
GCAAUACACGAAAGUGUGACGGGGUUACCCAAAGUGUUCAAUUUUGAACUGUGGCAGGUGAGUAAUGUCCCCUGCUAGAAAGGAGAGGGCAAGGCUGGUGCCAGCCGCCGCGGUAAAACCAGCUCUUCAAGUGGUCGGGAUAAUUAUUGGGCUUAAAGUGUCCGUAGCCGGUUUAGUAAGUUCCUGGUAAAAUCGGGUAGCUUAACUAUCCGUAUGCUAGGAAUACUGCUAUACUAGAGGGCGGGAGAGGUCUGAGGUACUACAGGGGUAGGGGUGAAAUCUUAUAAUCCUUGUAGGACCACCAGUGGCGAAGGCGUCAGACUGGAACGCGCCUGACGGUGAGGGACGAAAGCCAGGGGAGCGAACCGGAUUAGAUACCCGGGUAGUCCCAGCCGUAAACGAUGUUCGCUAGGUGUCAGGGACGGUGCGACCGUUUCUGGUGCCGUAGGGAAGCCGUGAAGCGAACCACCUGGGAAGUACGGCCGCAAGGCUGAAACUUAA